UUCUAGAGGGGAACCCAUCACAAUCAUGUACUAGAAGGGAAUAUAUCACAAUCACAUUCUAGAGGGGAACUCAUCACAAUCAUGUACUAGAAGGGAAUAUAUCACAAUCACAUUCUAGAUCGGAACCCAUUACAAUCACAUUCUGGAAAGAAAUAUAUCACACUCACAUUCUAGAGGGGAACCCAUCACAAUCACAUUCUAGAAGGAAACAUCACAGUCACAUUCUAGAAGUGAAUAUAUCACACUCAUGAUCCUGUAAGGAACUGGUAAAAUAGUAAAAUGAGUCUACUCCACUGUAAGUUUGCAGUCUGACUUCCUGGUUCAACUUUGACCAACCAACCAACUACUUGCUAUAGUUGUGCACACACAAAUGAUCACCAACGCUGUGGCUUACUUUUUACCUCAAAGUGUUUUAGAUCAAUUAUCAAGUUGCAUUUUGUUUUGUUCACAAUGUUGCCAUGUUCCCAUAUCUUCCGGGCAAUGACUUUGGUUUUCUCCAACCAACCAUCGCUUCCCUCCUAACCCCUCACCUGCACAUGCUGACUCAAGGUGUUCACUUACCGUCCUCGCUUUGCUCCCUUCUCCUCUGCCAAGUACCACUGAUAUGCAUAAACACACACCUGCAGCCAACAAUAGAGGCUUUAUUCAGGGUGGGCACACUACUGAUCCUGCCGGCCCUCUAUCAAGGACGGUUAUCUGGACAUGGGUGGCUGCCAUGCAAAGGCCACAAUGCUGCCUCAGACAUAACACAACAUCCCCACAGCCAUGACAUCACUGUCAAAAUAACAUGCUUGUUAUGAAUAUGCCUUGAUGUAUGUUGCUGCACAGAGGGAUGAAAGUGAGUGAAUGAAAGAGAGGGAAAAAGCCAUCAGAUGCGUCUUCACGGGCACCCUUUGGCUUCAAACGCAAACCUCAGGUGCUGUGACAGAAAACAACAGCUGAUGACGUCACGGAGGGCACAGGACAUUUAACCAAACCUCUUUAGUGACCCAAAGCAACUCUCAUGGCACUAAAGGAGAGGAAAACCAACGAUGCAGAAGAGGAAUGAGGUUUAUUGUGAAAGAGAGAGAAAAACAGAGAGACCCAGAGAGCAGGGUUCACGGGGGCCGGUGUGUACACACAUCAGGGUGGCAGGCAAGAUCAGAUGGGAUGAUGUUUGGGAUAGGAGGGAAAGAUAAAUAAGCCAGGAUGGCUGCACAAAGAGAGGCAAUGAGGAAAUGGGAAUGUGGAGAUUCCAAAAGGAAAAUCUGUGUCUCUCUCUCUCACACACACACACGAGUUCAGACAGAGUGAAGUGGUAAACAGAUGUGUGUGUGUGACUGCAUGUGUGUGUUUUGUAACCAUGGAACAUGAGUUUUAGAAGUUUGUUAUGGAUUUGUUUUUAAAAUGACAGGCUUUCACAACAACUCCCUUCCAGUGCUGCAUACCAGUAGAAUCUUAGUCUGCUGCGUCGGAGUAAAACAUAGGGUAACAGCAACAUAAAUGGCCAUACUGUAUAUUUCUUAGUAAGCUUUCUUUCACAGGAAUGCAUGGUUGAAUCUUACAGUAAAGUCAGCUAUUAACAGAA